AUGCCUACGGGGGGCAGCAGUGAGGAAUAUUGGUCAAUGGGCGGGAGCCUGAACCAGCCAAGUCGCGUGAGGGACGACGGUCCUAUGGAUUGUAAACCUCUUUUGUCGGGGAACAAAGGCGCCCACGGGUGGGCGGAUGAGUGUACCCGAAGAAAAAGCAUCGGCUAACUACGUGCCAGCAGCCGCGGUAAUACGUAGGUGGCAAGCGUUAUCCGGAUUUAUUGGGUGUAAAGGGCGUGUAGGCGGGAGCGCAAGUCAGAUGUGAAAACUCAGGGCUCAACCCUGAGCCUGCAUUUGAAACUGUG
rnacentral:rRNA from 1 species